rnacentral:rRNA from 1 species
UACGUAGGGUGCAAGCGUUGUCCGGAAUUAUUGGGCGUAAAGAGCUCGUAGGCGGUCUGUCGCGUCGGCUGUGAAAACCCGGAGCUCAACUCCGGGCCUGCAGUCGAUACGGGCAGACUGGAGUUCGGCAGGGGAGACUGGAAUUCCUGGUGUAGCGGUGAAAUGCGCAGAUAUCAGGAGGAACACCGAUGGCGAAGGCAGGUCUCUGGGCCACUACUGACGCUGAGAAGCGAAAGCGUGGGGAGCGAACAGG